UUUUGGCUUCUUCGUUUCUUCUUCAUCUAUGCUUCUUAGAUUUCUUCUACUUCUUAUUUCAAUAAUCUGCAAUAAUCAACCAACCCUUAAUUUGACAAAUAAUAGUCCAUCUCCAAUUGCAAUUGUGAUGGUCAAAAUUUGAAUCCUGGAUUUCUUCAAAGUCCCAGAAUUUCUUGAUGAAAUCGUGCAAUAUUUAAAAAAAAAAAAAAACAAAUUGGGAGCUCUGACUAGAUGGCGUAGGUCGUGAUGGUGGGUUCGCCUCAUCAGUCUUAUCAUUUCUGCACAUGGCUUUGGUAAAAUUAUAGGGAUUUUGAGGCAAAAUUUUGGGGAUUGAGGAUGCUUUGGCGGCGGCUGGAGGUUGGGAGGUGCUUUGUUCGAUGGCUAGAGGCUUGCUUGGUGCCGCCUGCGGCGGCUUUAGUCUUGGAGUGCUGCUGCGCACGGUGGCUUGAGGUUUUGAGGGCGAUGGGCACGGCGGCUGGAGGCUUGUGAAGUGUCUUUCAACCCAAGUGCCCUUUCAAUUCCCUCAAAUCCAUUCUCAGUUCAAAUCCCCAGAAUAAUGCCUUAAAACCUUAAGCCAACUAAAACUGAAUUUUACGUUGAUUAGGUUGAGGGUUCGGGUUUCAUCAAUUGGAUUUAAGAUUAGCAACAACUGGAUUU
rnacentral:lncRNA from 1 species